GGCUCAGGGUUCUCUGUCCAGUCCUCAGCUGCCCUGGAGCACCCAAGAGGCAGACUGGCUGGGUGAUGCCUACGUGUUGAGAUCCUGGUCCCUCCACACACGCUCUACCAGCUGCUGCGUGAUGCCCGUGUCCAAGAUCAGGUUGUGCAGAAGGAAGUUGUUGCCUGGAACAGGAGGGGAGGGGUGGGGGUGGGGGCAUCUUCUUGCAGCUCCUUGCCCACCCUCACCCCCACCCUUAAGGCUCCACCAGGAGCCUCCUCCAUGACCUGGCCCUGGCCCAGGCCCAGCCCUUAGCUUGUGCCUGCUUAUUUCCACACCUGCCCGGCCUCUGGGUUCCUCUGGGCUGGCCCCAUGCUGCCUGGGCACUGCCCAGAGCCAGCUGCCCUGCCAGGCACUCACACUGCUUGGAGUCUGGAGUCACUUUCUCCAUGAGCUCAAUAAAGUUUUUCAGGAACUCG
rnacentral:lncRNA from 1 species